rnacentral:rRNA from 1 species
AACGAACGCUGGCGGCAGGCCUAACACAUGCAAGUCGAGCGCCCCGCAAGGGGAGCGGCGGACGGGUGAGUACCGCGUGGGAAUAUGCCCUUUGCUACGGAAUAGUCUCGGGAAACUGGGGGUAAUACCGUAUACGCCCUUUGGGGGAAAGAUUUAUCGGCGAAGGAUUAGCCCGCGUUGGAUUAGGUAGUUGGUGGGGUAAUGGCCUACCAAGCCGACGAUCCAUAGCUGGUUUGAGAGGAUGAUCAGCCACACUGGGACUGAGACACGGCCCAGACUCCUACGGGAGGCAGCAGUGGGGAAUCUUAGACAAUGGGGGCAACCCUGAUCUAGCCAUGCCGCGUGAGUGAUGAAGGCCUUAGGGUUGUAAAGCUCUUUCAGCUGGGAAGAUAAUGACGGUACCAGCAGAAGAAGCCCCGGCGAACUCCGU